GGAUGUGAGGGUGAUCUGGCUGUGACAUCUGUCAUCCCAUUGAUCUCCAGUGAGCUCUGUCAAAGAGGAUGGCCUUCCCCAAACUUGAGACCCACCGGUCUUAGGUCUUUGGUUGAGGGUAGCUACAUUCCCCUGCUAAAACUUCCAAACAAGCUCUCAAGGUCCAUUUGUAGAAUAACAUAGGGUAGUCAAGCUUCCAAGACUGCAGACACAUCCAAAUGAAGUGCUACAUGUGGCAGUCUGCCUUAAAAU
rnacentral:snRNA from 1 species